rnacentral:lncRNA from 1 species
CCCUCCAGCAGGAAACCAGUGUAGUUAUGUUGUUUGUACUUGCCAGGAUACACUUCCAUUUCAUAUUUGCAAGUACACAUAAAGGUAUCCUUCAUCAGCAGCACAGUGCUUCCUUUCCUCUGAAUCUGCCAUCAGCUCAGGCAGAUUUCUAAGCAGCAAAUCAGCCUUUGCCAGAACACUGCAGGACACCAGUGCAGCGCCCAGCCUGCGACCAUGAGCUCGCCUGCACCCAGGUGAUUAAAAAGCUUUAUUGCUCACACAAAGCCUGUUUGGUGGUCUCUUCACAUGGACGCGAGUGACAUUUGGUGCCGUGACUCGGAUCGGGGAACCUCCCUUGGGAGAUCAAUCCCCUGUCCUCCUGCUCUUUGUUCCAAGAGAAAGAUCCACCUACGACCUCUGCUCCUCAGACCAACCAGCCCAAGGAACAUCUCACCAAUUUUAAAUCGGGUAAGUGGCCUGUCUUUACUCUCUUCUCCAAUCUCUCUCACUAUCCCUCAACCUCUUUCUCCUUUCAAUCUCGGCACCACACUUCAAUCUUUCCCUUCUCUUAAUUUCAAUUCCUUUCCUUUUUUGGUAGAGAUACGGGAGAUGUGUUUUAUCUGUGGACUCAAAACUCCAGUGCUGGUCACAGAUUCGGGAAGACAGUCUUCCCUUGGUGUUUAAUCACUGCAGAGAUGCCUGCCUGAUUAUUCACCCACAUUUCAUUGGUGUCUGAUCACCGUGGGGAUGCCUGCCUUGGUCAUUCACCCACAUUCCCUUAGUGGCAAGGCAAUUGUGGGGACACCUGCUUUGGCUGCUCACCCACAUUUGCAGCCCAGGGCUGCUCACCCAACCCCUUCUCUCCAUGUCUCUACCCUCUCUUUUCUCUCCACUUUCCUGGGGGGCAAGGACCCCCUACCCCUUCUCCACUUUCCUGGGGGGCAAGCACCCCCCACUCCUUCUCUCUGUGUCUCUACCCUCUCUUUUCUCUCCACUUCCCUGGGGGACAAACACCCCACCCCUUCCCCAUGUUCCUGGGGUGCAAGAACCCCCCACCCCUUCUCUCUGUGUCUCUACCCUCUCUUUUCUCUGGACUUGCCUCCUUCACUAUAGGCAAACUUCCACCCUCCAUUCCUCCUUCUUCUCCCUUAGCCUGUGUUCUCAAGAACUUAAAACCUCUUCAACUCACACCCGACUUAAAACCCAAAUGCCUUAUUUUCUUCUGCAAUGCCACUUAACCCCAAUACAAACUCGACAGUGGUUCCAAAGAGCCAUAAAAUGGCACUUUUGAUUUCUCCAUCCUACAACACCUAGAUAAUUUUUGUCGAAAAAUGGGCAAAUGGUCUGAGGUGCCUGACGUCCAGGCAUUCUUUUACACAUCGGUCCCUCGUCCCUCCCUAAUCUCUGUUCCCAAUGCAACUCAUCCCAAAUCUUCCUUCUUUCCCUCCUGCCUGUCCCCUCAGUUCCAACCCCAAGUGUCACUAAGUCUUUCCAAUCUUCCUUUUCUACGGACCCAUCUGACCUCUCCCCUCCUCCCCAGGCUGCUCCUAGCCAGGCCGAGCCAGUUCCAAUUCUCCCUUAGCCUCCGCUCCCCCACCCUAUAAUCCUUCUAUCACCUCCCCUCCUCACACCCAGUCCAGCUUCCAGUUUCGUUCUGCGACUAGCCCUCCCGGACCUGCCCAGCAAUUUCCUCUUAAAAAGGUGGCUGGAGCUAAAGGCAUAGUCAAGGUUAAUGCUCCUUUUUCUUUAUCCAACCUCUCCCAAAUCAGUUAGCGUUUAGGCUCUUUUUCAUCAAAUAUAAAAACCCAGCCCAGUUCAUGGCUUGUUUGGCAUCAACCCUGAGAUGCUUUACAGCCCUAGACCCUGAAAGGUCAAAAGGCCGUCUUAUUCUCAAUAUACGUUUUAUUACCCAAUCUGCUCCCAACAUUAAAUAAAACUCCAAAAAUUAAAUUCCGGCCCUCAAACCCCACAAUAGGAUUUAAUUAACCUUGCCUUCAAGGUGUACAAUAAUAGAGUAGAGUCAGCCAAGUAACAAUGUAUUUCUGAGUUGCAAUUCCUUGCCUCCACUGUGAGAGAAACCCCAGCCACAUCUCCAGCACACAAGAACUUCAAAAUGCCUAAGCCGCAGCAGUCAAGCAUUCCUAGAGGACCUUCUCCAUCAGGAUCUUGCUUCAAGUGCCAGAAAUCUGGCCACUGGGCCAAGGAAUGCCCACAGCCCGGGAUUCCUCCUAAGCUGUGUCCCAUCUGUGUGGGACCCCACUGAAAAUCAGACUGUCCAGCUCACCUGGCAGCCACUCCCAGAGCCCCUGGAACUCUGGCCCAAGGCUCUCUGAUUGACUUCUUCCCAGAUCUUCUGGGCUUAGUGGCUGAAGACUGACACUGCCCGAUCACCUGAGAAGCCUCCUGGACCAUCACAGAUGCUUUAGGCUCUAGGGGAUGGUAGAGUCACAGGAUGGAAGAACUCUGUGUCCUUGAAUCAUUGCAUGGAAGAGAACUGGAAGUUGCCCAGGAACACCAGCCUUGGACAGUUAUGUGAACAAGAAAUAAACUUCUUUUACAGUGUCAUUUAUGUUUUUGAGCAUCUUUGUUACAGCGGCUAGGUGUAUACUAAUUCAGGGAUUCUGUGAUAGCAAUAUUUCUUCUUCUUUUGAGUAGGUUUCCAAAACUUGAUUUUCCACAAUUCUGAAAUAUUUUGGUUCUGGGAUAAACUU